rnacentral:rRNA from 1 species
AGUGAACGCUGGCGGUAGGCCUAACACAUGCAAGUCGAACGGCAGCACAGUAAAAGCUUGUGAUUACGGGUGGCGAGGGGCGGAAGGGUGAGGAAUACGUCGGAAUCUACUGUUUAGUGGGGGAUAACGUAGGGAAACUUACGAUAAUACCGCAUAAGACCUACGGGGGAAAGCAGGGGAUCGUCGGACCUUGCGCGCCGGUAUGAGCCGAUGUCGGAUUAGCUAGUUGGCGGGGUAAAGGCCCACCAAGGCGACGAUCCGUAGCUGGUCUGAGAGGAUGAUCAGCCACACUGGAACUGAGACACGGUCCAGACUCCUACGGGAGGCAGCAGUGGGGAAUAUUGGACAAUGGGCGCAAGCCUGAUCCAGCCAUGCCGCGUGGGUGAAGAAGGCCUUCGGGUUGUAAAGCCCUUUUGUUCGGAAAGAAAAGCAGCAGGUUAAUACCCCGCUCUUCUGACGGUACCCAAAGAAUAAGCACCGGCUAACUUCGUG